rnacentral:rRNA from 1 species
AGAGUUUGAUCCUGGCUCAGGAUUAACGCUGGCGGCGUGCCUAACACAUGCAAGUCGAACGAGGUAGCAAUACCUAGUGGCAGACGGGUGAGUAACACGUGGUCAACCUACCUUCGAGUGGGGGAUAACUAGCCGAAAGGUUAGCUAAUACCGCAUGAAACGUACUGGGGCAUCCCGGAACGUUAAAAGGAGCAAUCCGC